CCAGCAGCUGCGGUAAUUCCAGCUCCAAUAGCGUAUAUUAAAGUUGUUGCAGUUAAAAAGCUCGUAGUUGGAUUUCUGGUAGGAUGACUGUGCCCUCAGUAGAGCGUGCGCAGGCGUCUUGCCAUCCUUCUGUUAACCUUUGAGAGCUUCAUCGCUCUCUUUGGGGCUCAGAUAUUUUACCUUGAGAAAAUUAGAGUGUUUCAGGCAGGCUAGCGCCGGAAUACAUUAGCAUGGAAUAAUAGAAUAGGACUUUUGCCUCUUCUGUUGGUCAUGGGGUUCGAGUAAUGAUUAAUAGGGAUAGUUGGGGGCAUUAGUACUUCACUGUCAGAGGUGAAAUUCUCGGAUUUGUGAAAGACUAACUUAUGCGAAAGCAUUUGCCAAGGAUGUUUUCA
rnacentral:rRNA from 1 species